UUCGGCCGUUAAAGAAUUCAAUUUUAUCUUGUUGAACAGAUAGAACAGGAUAAUGAAGAUUGUCGUGUAAUGUAUAAGGAGGGACCCGCUGGUACUCCGUUUCAUAAGUUACUUGUGGAAGGAUAUUUAGACGGGCCUCUAGACGUUUGUAAGUUUGAUUAAGGCAUUUCAUGCAUUUGUCCACACCGAUUUUUGUUUAUAUAGUAUGUUUGUAAACAGGCAUGUGCGUAACGUAGGAGGCGGGACUUUACCCGAAAUGAUUGAAAAGUUGAACUUAGUUAUCAAAGAGCUCGUUAAGGAAAAAGAUGAAGAAAAAGAAAGGUUCAAUGGAAUUAUUGCGGGAUUGUUGGCUGAAAAAGAAAAAGAUAAGGUGGAUAAAGAUGCUAUGCAUGAUAGGAUGUCACAAAUUGAAGCUAUGUUAAUAGCUUCAGUUCGAAAAUAUGCUAUAAACACUUGUUUUGAAUGUUUAGAUAUUUAUCUUAUUAGGAUAAUUUUAGUUAUUUUAUGUUUUAGUUUGUAUUUAUUAUAUGCUUUUGAAAA